AAUUAUAAAUUAGGAAGUAUUAAAUAAUAAAACCACUAAAACUUGGCGGUUAUAAUUUUUUAAAGAAACUUGUUUUAUAAUCGAUAUUACUCGAUAAUUUUUACUUAAUUUUUAUAAUUUAUAUACCGCCGUUUAUAACAGAAACAAUAUAAACAAAACUUCAAAAUCAAUAAUUCACAAAAAUCAGGUCAAGGUGUAAUCUUUUUUUAAGAAAAAAUAAGUUACAUUUAAAUAAAAUUUAAGGAAUAUUUAAUAAAAAUUAAAAAGAAAAAGAAUUUACAAUUAAUUUUUAAUUAAAAAUUUAAACAGAAAAUAAUUAUUAUAAUGC
rnacentral:rRNA from 1 species